GUGCCCGUAGCUCAAUCGGAUAGAGCACCGGCCUUCUAAGCCGGGGGUUGUGGGUUCGAGUCCCGCCGGGCGUGCCA
rnacentral:tRNA from 1 species